AGCGAACGCUGGCGGCAGGCCUAACACAUGCAAGUCGAACGAACUCUUUGGAGUUAGUGGCGGACGGGUGAGUAACACGUGGGAACGUGCCUUUUGGUUCGGAAUAACUCAGGGAAACUUGUGCUAAUACCGAAUGUGCCCUUCGGGGGAAAGAUUUAUCGCCAUUAGAGCGGCCCGCGUCUGAUUAGCUAGUUGGUGAGGUAAUGGCUCACCAAGGCUACGAUCAGUAGCUGGUCUGAGAGGAUGAUCAGCCACAUUGGGACUGAGACACGGCCCAAACUCCUACGGGAGGCAGCAGUGGGGAAUCUUGCGCAAUGGGCGAAAGCCUGACGCAGCCAUGCCGCGUGAAUGAUGAAGGUCUUAGGAUUGUAAAAUUCUUUCACCGGGGACGAUAAUGACGGUACCCGGAGAAGAAGCCCCGGCUAACUUCGUGCCAGCAGCCGCAGUAAUAC
rnacentral:rRNA from 1 species